rnacentral:rRNA from 1 species
AUACGGAGGGUGCAAGCGUUAAUCGGAAUUACUGGGCGUAAAGCGCGCGUAGGCGGAUAUUUAAGUCUCAUGUGAAAGCCCUGGGCUCAACCUGGGAACUGCAUGGGAUACUGGGUAUCUAGAAUACAGUAGAGGGUAGUGGAAUUUCAGGUGUAGCGGUGAAAUGCGUAGAGAUCUGAAGGAACAUCAGUGGCGAAGGCGACUACCUGGACUGAUGUUGACGCUGAGGUGCGAAAGCGUGGGGAGCAAACGGGAUUAGAAACCCCAGUAGUCC